rnacentral:tRNA from 1 species
GCUUCCGUAGCUCAGCUGGAUAGAGCACUUCCCUCCUAAGGAAGGGGUCGUGCGUUCGAAUCGCGCCGGGGGCA